rnacentral:rRNA from 1 species
GGGUUGUGAGGUUAAGCGAAUAAGCGUACACGGUGGAUGCCUAGGCAAUCAGAGGCGAUGAAGGACGUGCUAAUCUGCGAAAAGCGUCGGUAAGGUGAUAUGAACCGUUAUACCCGACGAUAUCCGAAUGGGGAAACCCAGUAUCCAAUGGAUACUAUCAUUAACUGAAUCCAUAGGUUAAUGAGGCGAACCGGGAGAACUGAAACAUCUCAGUACCCCGAGGAAAAGAAAUCAACCGAGAUUCCCCUAGUAGCGGCGAGCGAACGGGGAGCAGCCCAGAGUCUUAAUCAAUAGCAGUGUCAGGAGAACGGUCUGGAAAGUCCGGCAGUAAAGGGUGAUAGCCCCGUAUCUGAAGAUGCUGUUAUUGUGAACUCGACGAGUAGGGCGGGACACGUGUUAUCCUGUCUGAAUAUGGGGGGACCAUCCUCCAAGGCUAAAUACUCCUGAUUGACCGAUAGUGAACCAGUACCGUGAGGGAAAGGCGAAAAGAACCCCGGCGAGGAGUGAAAAGAACCUGAAACCGUGUACGUACAAGCAGUAGGAGCCUCUUUAUGGGGUGACUGCGUACCUUUUGUAUAAUGGGUCAGCGACUUAUAUUCUGUAGCAAGGUUAACCGUAUAGGGGAGCCGUAGGGAAACCGAGUCUUAACUGGGCGAAUGAGUUGCAGGGUAUAGACCCGAAACCCGGUGAUCUAUCCAUGGGCAGGUUGAAGGUUGGGUAACACUAACUGGAGGACCGAACCGACUAAUGUUGAAAAAUUAGCGGAUGACUUGUGGAUGGGGGUGAAAGGCCAAUCAAACCGGGAGAUAGCUGGUUCUCCCCGAAAGCUAUUUAGGUAGCGCCUCGUGAACUCAUCUUCGGGGGUAGAGCACUGUUUCGACUAGGGGGUCAUCCCGACUUACCAACUCGAUGCAAACUGCGAAUACCGAAGAAUGUUAUCACGGGAGACACACGGCGGGUGCUAACGUCCGUCGAAGAGGGAAACAACCCAGACCGCCAGCUAAGGUCCCAAAGUCAUGGUUAAGUGGGAAACGAAGUGGAAGGCUCAGACAGCCAGGAUGUUGGCUUAGAAGCAGCCAUCAUUUAAAGAAAGCGUAAUAGCUCACUGGUCGAGUCGGCCCGCGCGGAAGAUGUAACGGGGCUAAACCAUGCACCGAAGCUGCGGCAGCGACACGUAGUGUUGUUGGGUAGGGGAGCGUUCUGUAAGCCUGCGAAGGUGUACUGUGAGGUAUGCUGGAGGUAUCAGAAGUGCGAAUGCUGACAUAAGUAACGAUAAUGCGGGUGAAAAACCCGCACGCCGGAAGACCAAGGGUUCCUGUCCAACGUUAAUCGGGGCAGGGUGAGUCGACCCCUAAGGCGAGGCUGAAAAGCGUAGUCGAUGGGAAACGGGUUAAUAUUCCCGUACUGGUGGUAACUGCGAUGGGGGAACGGAGAAGGCUAGGUUGUCCGGGCGACGGUCGUCCCGGUUCAAGCAGGUAGGCAGAGUGAUUAGGCAAAUCCGGUCACUUAAUGCUGAGAUGUGAUGACGAACCACCAAGGUGGUGAAGCAAUUGAUGCCCCGCUUCCAGGAAAAGCCUCUAAGCUUCAGGUUACCAACAAUCGUACCCCAAACCGACACAGGUGGUCAGGUAGAGAAUACUCAGGCGCUUGAGAGAACUCGGGUGAAGGAACUAGGCAAAAUGGUGCCGUAACUUCGGGAGAAGGCACGCUGGCGGUAGGUAAAGUCCCUCGCGGACGGCGCUGAAGCCAGUCGAAGAUACCAGCUGGCUGCAACUGUUUAUUAAAAACACAGCACUGUGCAAACACGAAAGUGGACGUAUACGGUGUGACGCCUGCCCGGUGCUGGAAGGUUAAUUGAUGGGGUCAGCCGUAAGGCGAAGCUCCUGAUCGAAGCCCCAGUAAACGGCGGCCGUAACUAUAACGGUCCUAAGGUAGCGAAAUUCCUUGUCGGGUAAGUUCCGACCUGCACGAAUGGCGUAAUGAUGGCCAGGCUGUCUCCACCCGAGACUCAGUGAAAUUGAACUCGCUGUGAAGAUGCAGUGUACCCGCGGCAAGACGGAAAGACCCCGUGAACCUUUACUAUAGCUUGACACUGAACAUUGAGCCUUGAUGUGUAGGAUAGGUGGGAGGCUUUGAAGUGUGGACGCCAGUCUGCAUGGAGCCAACCUUGAAAUACCACCCUUUAACGUUUGAUGUUCUAACCUAGGCCCAUAAACUGGGUCGGGGACCGUGUCUGGUGGGUAGUUUGACUGGGGCGGUCUCCUCCUAAAGAGUAACGGAGGAGCACGAAGGUUGGCUAAGCAUGGUCGGACAUCAUGCUAGUGCAGUGCAAAGCCAGCUUGCUGCGAGAGUGACGGCUCGAGCAGGUACGAAAGUAGGUCUUAGUGAUCCGGUGGUUCUGAAUGGAAGGGCCAUCGCUCAACGGAUAAAAGGUACUCCGGGGAUAACAGGCUGAUACCGCCCAAGAGUUCAUAUCGACGGCGGUGUUUGGCACCUCGAUGUCGGCUCAUCACAUCCUGGGGCUGAAGUAGGUCCCAAGGGUAUGGCUGUUCGCCAUUUAAAGUGGUACGCGAGCUGGGUUUAGAACGUCGUGAGACAGUUCGGUCCCUAUUCGCCGUGGGCGUUGGAAGAUUGAGAGGUUGCUCCUAGUACGAGAGGACCGGAGUGAACGCACCACUGGUGUUCGGGUUGUCAUGCCAAUGGCAUUGCCCGGUAGCUAAGUGCGGAAGAGAUAACCGCUGAAAGCAUCUAAGCGGGAAACUUGCCUCGAGAUGAGUCUUCCCUGUCGCUUUAAGCGACCUAAAGGAACGUUUAAGACUAAGACGUUGAUAGGCUGGGUGUGUAAGCGUAGCGAUACGUUGAGCUAACCAGUACUAAUGAACCGUGAGGCUUAACCUGACAACACCGAAAGUGUUUUG